CCUACGGGUGGCAGCAGUCGAGAAUCAUUCACAAUGGGGGAAACCCUGAUGGUGCGACGCCGCGUGGGGGAAUGAAGGUCUUCGGAUUGUAAACCCCUGUCAUGUGGGAGCAAAUUAAAAAGAUAGUACCACAAGAGGAAGAGACGGCUAACUCUGUGCCAGCAGCCGCGGUAAUACAGAGGUCUCAAGCGUUGUUCGGAAUCACUUGGCGUAAAGCGUGCGUAGGCUGUUUCGUAAGUCGUGUGUGAAAGGCGCGGGCUCAACCCGCGGACGGCACAUGAUACUGGGAGACUAGAGUAAGGGAGGGGGAACCGGAAGUCGCGGUGGAGCAGUGAAAUGCGUAGAUAUCGAGAGGAACACUCGUGGCGAAGGCGGGUUCCUGGACAUUAACUGACGCUGAGGCACGAAGGCCAGGGGAGCGAAAGGGAUUAGAUACCCCAGUAGUC
rnacentral:rRNA from 1 species